AUGGCCGCCGCCGCCCCCUCCGCCACGGCGCUCGCCGGCGCAGCCCUCCCGCUCCCCCUCUCCGCGCGACCUCAACCCGCUCGGUUCUCCGUGGCGCUCCCCCGGACGGCCCCUCCUCCCCCGGCCCUGCGGCUCCGGUCGGUGCGGCGCCUGGCGGCGGCCGAGGGGCCCCCGGCGGGCAUGAAGGAGACGCUGGACAAGGUGGUGUCGGCGCACAAGGUGGUGCUGUUCAUGAAGGGGACCAAGGACUUCCCGCAGUGCGGCUUCUCCCACACCGUGGUGCAGAUCCUGCGCUCCCUCGACGUGCCCUUCGAGACGCUCGACGUGCUUGCUAACGACGCCCUCCGCCAGGGGCUCAAGGACUACUCCAGCUGGCCCACCUUCCCGCAGCUCUACAUCGACGGCGAGUUCUUCGGCGGAUGCGACAUCACCCUCGAGGCAUACAAGAGUGGGGAACUGCAGGAGACGCUGGAGAAAGCAAUGUGCUCUUAG
rnacentral:rRNA from 1 species